GCCGUAGCUCAGAUGGUAGAGCGUUUGCUUGGCAUGCAGAAGGUCCUGGGUUCAAUUCCUGGCAACUCCA
rnacentral:tRNA from 1 species